rnacentral:tRNA from 1 species
GCCUUUGUAGCUCAAUUGAGAGAGCGUUUACCUUGUAAGUAAGAGGGUGUGGGUUUAAAUCCUGCCAAGGGUA